rnacentral:misc_RNA from 1 species
GAUGAAGAACGCAGCGAAAUGCGAUAAGUAAUGUGAAUUGCAGAAUUCAGUGAAUCAUCGAAUCUUUGAACGCACAUUGCGCCCAUUAGCAUUCUAGUGGGCAUGCCUGUUCGAGCGUCAUUUCAACCCUUAAGCCCUGUUGCUUAGCGUUGGGAGCCUACAGUACUGUAGCUCCCCAAAGUUAGUGGCGGAGUCGGUUUCACACUCUAGACGUAGUAAUUUUUUCUCGUCUGUAGUUGAGCCGGUCCCCUGCCGUAAAACACCCAAUUUAUCAAGGUUGACCUCGGAUCAGGUAGGAAUACCCGCUGAACUUAAGCAUAUCAAUAACGGAGGA